rnacentral:tRNA from 1 species
GAGGGCAUAACUCAGUGGUAGGGUGUGUACAUAGCAUGCACAAGGUCCUGGGUUCAAUCCCCAGUGCCUCCA